rnacentral:misc_RNA from 1 species
GAUGAAGAACGUAGCGAAAUGCGAUACGUAAUGUGAAUUGCAAAUUCAGUGAAUCAUCGAGUCUUUGAACGCACAUUGCGCCCCCUGGUAUUCCGGGGGGCAUGCCUGUCCGAGCGUCAUUGCUGCCCUCAAGCACGGCUUGUGUGUUGGGCCCCGUCCUCCGAUCCCGGGGGACGGGCCCGAAAGGCAGCGGCGGCACCGCGUCCGGUCCUCGAGCGUAUGGGGCUUUGUCACCCGCUCUGUAGGCCCGGCCGGCGCUUGCCGAUCAACCCAAAUUUUUAUCCAGGUUGACCUCGGAUCAGGUAGGGAUACCCGCUGAACUUAAGCAUAUCAAUAAGCGGUGGA